AUAUGGCGGUUUCUACUCAUAGACCUGAGGAGAGUGGACAGGCUGCUGUCAAUCAUUGCAGGCUCUCCAAUGGUGACGUUUGAGGGCGGGGCCAUGGAAAGGGGGUUAAAACAGCUCUGUCACGUGACCAAGUGCGUUCAAAUCUGGAUUGUACAGUGCAGCUUCCGUAGACCGUUCCAGUCAGUGCUGACGGAAAAUGGCGGUUGCUUUUUCUCCGAUCUCAAAAAAUGCUGCAUGAUUGGGUACUCUGGCCCCACCAACCACUUUCAGAAAUUCCUCUGGAUAAGGGAAAGUGGAAGUUUGCCCCAUCCACUCAUCUUAUGAGUUUCAAAGUUACCUAAUUUUCCUGCAGUGGUGCUAAGCUGGCCUCCCACAGGGCCAGCAAGUAUCCUCAGAGAGUAUUGAGCAUCUCUUUGGAAAUCAACCUCUUUAAUUCUGCUAUGAUGCCAGGAGGUUGCUGGGCAACACAGACUUUACCUUGCUCUGAGCUGCUGUCUUUUCUGGCUCACGUGGACAUCUUACAUUGAAGCUGAUGUGGCUCAGCAUCAAGUUGGGGCUACAGGGUGCUUGUUAACUGGCAGUGCCAAAAAGUUAUCUUUUUCCUUCCCUGUAUAAAAUUACUUCUUUCUGGGAAGUGGUUCAUUUGUUGAAAGUCAGGUGAAGACUUUUGACAGUUGAGUGCGAGAGUGUUAAAUACAAAUAUGAAUUACUCUUGGCUUAUUGACUUAAAAUAAGUCAAAAUAAGUUAAAAAUAAGUCACAUGUUGAGGAUUCCAAGAGAGUAACUCUAAUUGGUUGCAUUCUCAAAACCAGGACCCUCAGAGAAAGAGAAAAUGACCCUUCUCAGAAUUUAAGGGAGGAUCUAACUUGGUGGUUCUUUCCCAGGAGCCCAUAUUAUUUGCCUCAUGAGGCCUGUACUCAGUAGAUGUCUAUUUAGCAGCAGGAAUGUUAAUGUGCUGUAAAUUCUUAGUGUAAAGUAUUCCAUGUCAAAUUUGUGUUUGCCUUAAGUGUUUUUUUCAUUCCUCUGGUUUAUGUGGGUGAUGGAAAGAGGAUGAAUAUUGAACACUUUAAGGAACAACCUUUGAAAUGGAGUAUAUUCAUUGUUACAUUGGUUCCCUGUUACAUGCAAACUUUUUGAUGGCUCCAUAAUAUUUUAUUGUAUAAAUGCACCACAUUUUUGUUAUCCAUUUAUCUUGUUGAUGGAUGCUUAGGUUGCUUCCAUGUCCUAACUAUUGUGAAUAAUGCUGCAAUGAACUCUGGGAUGUAGAUAUCUCUUUGGGAUAGUGGCUUCAUUUCCUUUAUAUAAAUAUCCAGAUCUGGGAUUGCUGGAUCAUAUGGUAGUUCUAUUUUUAAUUGUGUGAGCAGCCACCAUACUGUUUUCCAUAGUGGCUCUACUGAUUUAUGUGGGUAAACACAUUUUUAACUAAAUGGUUUUCAUGGUUGGUGCUCCAGCCACUUCUGAUUGUCUGUUCUUUUAAGGAGAAGAACUGUAGGGGUUAGGGGCUCAAAAAGGGGAAGGGACUCUCUGAUCAGGAGAGCUGGAAUGACUGACUAGAUGUGCUCCUUCCUUCGGGUGCCUAAAACCUAGAGAUGGGGAGAGGGCUGGGAAGAGAGAGGCCCUCCCUCUGUAGAGCUGCUCUCAGAGGACAGGGGGAUAUGGGUCCCCAGUGUGAAAGGUGUAUUGGACUUUGUGUUCAACAGUGUCUUCUGCCCACUUCCCCAUCCCUGGCACUACUUGGGAUUGGCAUAGCUGAAGGACAGAAGACAACAGUGCACAUUGUUGAAUGUCACAUGAGAACAUAUGACCCUCUGGCAAAGAUAGAAUUUUUAUGAUAGAAUUUCCUUAUUUUUCCACCUUCCCUGAGAAUUUUGGACUCUGCUGAGGAAGGCUUUGUUGUUUCUCCCUCAUUAUGUGCAUUGCUUUAGCCUUUGAAAAGUGGCUCAAGGAAUGGUGGCCCUUCCCCCAUACUGUCUUCUAGAACAGUACUCUGAGGGAGUCUUUUUAGAGGCAACUGCUGUUGUUUCUGGUGACUAAUUGUGUGUGGUUGAUUUGACUGCUCAGUAUUUCAAAUUGAUAGUGACCUGUGUUGCCAGGGAGAGACUAAUGAAGGUGAACUGAUGUUGCUGGUAUGUUUUUCUAAUACACAGGCCAGACACUUCUUCCCUCGACAUGCCCAUGGCUCAAAUGCCUUGUUAAACUCCUACAGGAAGUGCAUACUGGCAAUGGCAGCAUCUGGGGCUUGGGAAAUAUUGGGUCACAGGGAAAACAUUGUCUAUGGGCAGUUGUUAGGCUUCUGUGCUCUGACACAAAGGUGCUGAACAAAUGAGGUCUACUAUGCAGAGCAAUGGCAUAUUUGGGAUCAAUAGGAAUCCUGAUUUUGCAUAUGGGAAUGUGGUUGGAAUUUUGUCCAAGCAUUUUCUUGUUAACUUCCUACACUCUUCUGCUGACUAAACUCUGCACAUUGGUGGGAAGACAAGAAGAGCGCAUGGUUUCUGUCAGUGGACUGGACAUGAUACUGGAGACACUGCUUUAAGGGGAUUUUGUUUCCAGUCAAGGAAACAAAGUGCUGUAAGCACAACAGUAAAGGAUUCAUGCAUCUGUGUGUUGUACUGAGGCUACCAAAUACCAAAGGGGUGAAAGCAGAAGGGGGAGUUGGAAUUUGAGUUGGGGGUACUCUAGUUUCCCCAUUGCAGCUUCUUGGUCACUUGAUCAGUGAAAUAUGGGGUCCAGCAGGGCUAUGAGUGCUCUCUAAGAGGGUAAGGAAACUUUACAGUGGUGGGGGACAAGGGACUUGGUGUGGAAGUUGUGGUGGGCACUGUAGAUUCAGGAGUGUGUCUCCUGCAUUUCUCUAUUCUCCCAUACUCCCUUUGGGUCAGCAUAGCUGGGGGACAGGAGACCACUGAUGGAUACACUAUGAGAAACUAUGACUGUCUUGUAUAGUUGAGACGUUCAUUAGAAUGACAGAGGAUUAUUCUCCACUUUCCAAGUGAUGGUUUUGCUUACUGGUGUGGGUUCUGCUGUCUCAUUUUAAUUCUGUGUUACCGUAGGCCUAUGAACAAAGGCAUCUGCAGCCCCUCACCUGCUAUCUUAUUGCAUGUCACAAUAAUCUGAGGCCUCCUUCUGAGGAGGAGCUUCUGUUGCUUACAGUGAUGUUGUUGUCCAGAGACAUUCUUUGUUGCCUCUUGGGCACUACCUUGUGGUGUUCAUUCCCCUUUCUGUUUUUCUCAAGGGGGUAACUGAGUUCUCGGGCUUCAGCUGCCUAAAUUGUCCCACCCCCUUUACCUAGUUCUUAGGCCCUGCAGGGCCCUUGGGGAAGUUUCUGAGUUGCAAAAUUGGCAAGAGGCUUAUCUAACUUUUUAAAAAGGUUUGCCUACCAUGCACCAUGCAAAGAGACAGGGAACUCAGAUUUACAAGUUUUAUGAAUAAGGAGGUCCUCUCCCUCCUUUUGACGGGGAUAAUUUAACUUUAAUUCUUAUUUUAUUUGCCCUUACAACAUGCUACCAGGAGAUACCAGGUCCCCUGGGUAUUUGUGUGCCCCCCCCCCCCCCCCCCCCC